rnacentral:rRNA from 1 species
UGGGGAAUAUUGCACAAUGGGCGGAAGCCUGAUGCAGCGACGCCGCGUGGGGGAUGACGGCCUUCGGGUUGUAAACCUCUUUCAGUGCAGAACAAGGCUCUUUGUGGGUUGAGGGUAUGCGCAGAAGAAGCGCCGGCUAACUACGUGCCAGCAGCCGCGGUAAUACGUAGGGCGCGAGCGUUGUCCGGAUUUAUUGGGCGUAAAGAGCUCGUAGGCGGUUUGUCGCGUCUGCUGUGAAAUCCUCUGGCUUAACUGGGGGCGUGCA